GGAGGCCCGAACUCUUCCCCUCCCCUCGGGGCGGUCCUCUGCCGGCUGCCGGGAAGCGGCCUCGAACCCCAGGGUGCUUUCGGCUAGGCCGCCGGGCCUGCAGCCUCUGCUGGUUUUAUCGCUCAGAGAAGGUGGUGGACCGGGGAGGAGUCGGCUCUGGGCCUGCCCCUCCGCGAAUUUGUUGUGUUACUUCCAGCGAGACACAUCCCGCCGGCCUCGUUUCUUAUUCUGUAAAAUUGGGAGGUGGUUGCCUAGAUGAUUUCACAGGCUAUUAGACAAGGGAAAAGAGAGAUCAUCUGCCCCCUUCGUUUUACAGAUGAAAAGAUCUGACUGACACGUCUGGCUCUGCAAUUCUGUGAAUUACCCAAAAUGUCUGUCAUUGACAGAGCUCUCCCCUCAAGGGAGCCCACACCUUUCUUCUUUUUUACCCGCUUUUUUAAUUCUAUAAUGGAAGUGCUACUUCCAAAAGUAGAGUGUUCCUUGUCACUAGAGGAGUCAAACAGCUGCUGAACAGGCUUUCUGAGCCCUCAUGGCCUUAUCUGGAAAGCAUCCCUCAUUCCAAAGGCUGGCAAUAUAAUACCUGUCUCUUUCCCCGGGUUGUCCUAAGGAUGAAUGAGUCACUGGCUGCGGAAGUGCUUUGCAAAGCAUACAUCUAUCCUUUCCUGCGCUCUUAUUCCCAGUUAGCUGUCUUCACCUACCUCAAUCCUGUCCUGCUGCAGUCUCCCAACGUCUUCUGCUGUUUCCCUUCCAGUGUUUUCUACUCUAAAACAACCUCUGUAAAUCCUUAAGCCCUUCACACCUCUUCUAACUGAAACCCAACUUUGCCUUGAAAACACCAACCUCCCUGGCACCUCUCUGAGGCAGUGGGCAACUUCUUCCAGAGACAGGAACUCCAUCCUGCCAUCAUUCACUGCCGUCCACUGCCUAGAUCCUCAUCCUCUUCCUGUCCUGCUGAUAAAGCAUCCUGUAGGCCACACCCCACAUUCAUUCAUCUAUUCAUUCAUUUAUGUAGUAUUCAUUUAACUGAUUCCUGUCGAAGACCUGUUGCUGGGACCCUCAGCACUUUUCAUUAGCUCUUGCCCUCGCCUGGUUUAGCAGGACGUUUAGCCACCUGCAGAGUCCCCAUCCCCAAUAAGAGUUGGAAAUACCCACAGGAAUGUGUCUCUAGCAUUCCCAGUUUAAUCCCUUUCUGUAGGAGCUACCUCCAAGUCUAGUCCAAUCUAGGCUGUGAAGGUGCCUACAAAUGAGCCACUUGUACAGGCAAUGCUGUCUCCUGUUGGGGCUACACUCUAGUAACUGCUGAUUGCCAAAUCCAGUGGACACUUGAGUCCGCCCAUCAUGUGACCUUUCUACAGACCUUGUCACUCCUUCUUUUUGAAACUCUCCUCUCCUCUGUUUUCUACAUCAUUCUCCUUUGUCUGUAACCUGUUUUCUGAACUUCCUUUUGCUAGCACUUUUCUUGGCUGCUCCUUUUUUACAAAGCCAUAUAAUCCCCUCCACCCCAACUCGGCAGCUCAGUGUCUUAAUUAACUUUAAAACAUCCUCAGGGCAUGCAGUGCUGAGAUUUUGUUGAACAAUGAAUGGAACUGGAGCAGACUGUCACCAAGUUACAAAGACACCAGGAUAACAAAAAUCUGGCAAUGAGGGGUCAUUUUUUGCAGAAGCAGAAUGGACUCCAUCCACAUGUGCGUUAGACCAAAUCCUACAGAUGAUGAUGAAUUCAUGUACUGCGGAGCUUAUCUUUAUGGAAAGAACUCAUUUCCUAGAAUUUUCAAUAUUUUUUCGGAAUGUCUACGUGAUCUGGUGGAUUUAAAAGUUUUUCAUUAUAGUGUAACAUGCAAACAGAAAAGUGCACAAAUCAUAAAUGCUCAGCUCAAAGAAUUUUCACAAAGUGAACAAUAUGUGUAAUCAGAACCCUGAUUGUGAAACAGAAUAUAACCAGCACCCCAGAGUGUCUCCCUCAAGACUUCUUCCUCCCAACAAAG
ensembl:lncRNA